AUCUCCAAUUCGGCCGCAAAUCUGAAUUCCACUUCCACAUCUCUAUCUCCGUGACUCCAUCUGCAAUUCCCCUUCCAAAUCCCUGAAUUCAGUUUUUUGAUCUUCGCUCUCGACUUCUGUAUUUUCCAUUUUCUUAGAAAAAAUCCCUUAUAUUAAAAUUUCUCUCUAAUUUUCAUUAUCAUCAUUCUAAAGAAUCGGAUUAUUGCUAGAUGCCACUGUGAUGUUCGAAUGCAGUUCGUAGCCAGUUGGAGUACUCACGAACCAUGAAGUUGGGGAAUACUAUCUUGGUUUGGAAAAUCCGGUAUGGACGACAUUGAAGAGGAACAUAAAGUCCAAAAUAACUUCUAAAGGAAUAUGGCAUGAAUAAGAAGAGGAAAUCACGUGAAAAACAUUUCAGUGAUGGUGAAUAAUGAAUGCAAAGACAGAGUUACUGCAAAUUGAAAUUCUACUUCAGUCAAAAUUUCCCAGUCAUGCAACUCUAACAAGUGCAAGCGUGGAGUGAUCCUUAAGUGUCAAAGGGGAAAAAAAUAGAGGAUGGACCAAAGUUUCAAUCAGCAGUGUGGUAGCAUUUUUAGAAUCAUUGAUCGUGUACCUUCACGGAUUUGUUUACAAUAAACCAGUUGAGCAUGUGAAGUUGAUUCUCGAUUAUUUUAAUUAUUGAACCAAUGAACUUAGGAGCGAUAAAGCGUAAACUAGAGGACAAUACAUACUUUUGUGAAGAGGAAUUUGCUAGUGAUGUUAGACUGACUUUUUCAAGUGCGAUACAUUAUAAUCCUUCCGGGAACUACGUGAAGGAAUUGAAUGUGAUAGAAAUUAUUGAAGAGAAAAUUGAAGUACGCGUGAAGGAAUCUCAAACAGUUAUGUGAUGUAGAUAGAAUACGAAAGAAUGGCCAAGAUACAAAGGCUAUUAUAGAGAAAAAGGCUAAAAUGCAAACCAGUCUCGCCUUAACAAAGCUUGAGGGGAACAUCAGUCUUCAGAACAGCGACCAAUGUUGUUGGAGGAAAAGUGAAAUUUGAGUAAAAGAGCUUUUAAAAAUAUCUAGCAAAAAGAUGACGGAAACUAUUAGGUUAGUGUUCGAAAAGUUUUGUAUGGCCAGAUUGAAAGAAGAAAAACAUGAUUCUUAUAUUCAUGUGAUUGACAAUGAAAUUUUACUGAAGCUGGAAAGAACGAGUGAUAAAUGUUCUUUGGAUGCAACGGAAGAAAAGGUUUUUCUGAACAGAGGAAGCCUGCAAGAACCACACAAAGUCAUGCUAGUGAAAACUGUUCAUAAAGAUAAUGGCAAUCAAAGUGCAUUUGUUGCUUCCAAUAGUAAACAACCAUUUGAUUUCCCUGGAGUCAAAUGUGCUGUAAGUGGUAGUAUGAUGUGCCAAUGAAGCAUUAGAUGUUCUGUUAAGCCAUCUUUCAGUGGAUGGACUUCACUUGUUCAUGUGUUGUGAAACAAUGCUUCGCAUGCUGCAGUGUUAGAUACUAUCUUUAGAACUACACAUGAGACUCUCUCGGAUCAUGAGGAGAAGAUUAAUCCUGUCAAUGGGCAGAAAUAAAAGGGAAGACUGGAAAGGCAGGAGCAUGAAGAUGUUGCUCAAGACGCAGCUGGUUGACAUUAAAAUUACAAGGAAUCUUCAGCUUCAAAAUAACUGCAGAAUUUCUCAAAGAAGAAAGAAUCAUACCAAUUCAUACAACCAAAUUGUCUGCGGAAUUUAUCACCUUUCCUUUUAUUUCAGCCAAAGAAAUCUUUAUUGCUUUUUCUUUCCAGUUCAGGAAAAGUUUCGUUGUCAAUCAUGUCAAUAUAAGAAUCGAGUUUUUCUUCUCUUAGUUUGGCCAUACAAAACUUUUAAAAUACAAACCUUAAAGUUUCAACCAUCUUUCUGCUCGAUAUUUUCAGAAGCUUUUUUUCUCAAAUUUUGCUUUUCCACUUAAAACUGGCUUGUUGUGCCCAUAAAACUGACCUGUUGUGCCCAUAAAACUUUAUUAAGGCAUGAUUGUUUUGCAUUUUGGCCUUUCUUUUUUAUAAUGGGUUUGUAUCUUGGCCAUUCUUUUCACGUCAUCUACAUUGCAUAACUGUUCGAGAUUUCUGCUCGUGCAGUUCAAUUUUGUCUUCAGUAAUUUCCAUCUCUUGAAAUCGUCAUUCAAUUCCUUUGCAUAGUUCCCGAGAGGAUUGUGAUGUAUCCCAUUGAAAAAGUCAACCUGACAUCAUUAGCAAAUUCCUCUACAUCAAAGUAUGUAUUGUCCUCUAGCUUACUCUUUAUUGUUCCAAAAUUCAUUGGUUCAAUGGUUAUUGGAAUCAAGAGAUCAUUGGUUGAUUUAAAGAAAAUCUAUGGGGGUGCCCAUCCCGAUCUAAAAAUGCUACUACACUGUUGCCUGAAGCUUCGAUCCAUGCUAUGGUUCUUUUUUCCCCUUUGACACUCAAGGAUCACUCAGCCUUACGCUUCUUAGAGUUACUUUACUGGCAAAAUUUGAUUGUUUUAGAUUUCUUAUUUGCAUCAACUCCAUCUAUGCAUUCAUUUUUUAUUGUCAUUGUGACGUUUUUCAUGUGAUUUCUCUGGUGAUUCAUGCUGCAUUUCUUUUGAGAUGAUUUUGUACCUUACGAUCCUCAUGUUACCAACAGUCAUCACAAAUUUAAAUUUGUGAAUUAAUGGAGAAUUGUAAGUUCUGCAAUUAACAAUUUUGUUACAUGUACAUCCAUUUUAUA